GCCGAAGUAGCUCAGUGGUAGAGCAGCUGAUUCGUAAUCAGCAGGUCGCGGGUUCAAUCCCCGCCUUCGGCUCCA
rnacentral:tRNA from 1 species